GACGAACGCUGGCGGCGUGCCUAAUACAUGCAAGUCGAACGAGAGCGACCGGUGCUUGCACUGGUCAAUCUAGUGGCGAACGGGUGAGUAACACGUGGGUAACCUGCUCAUCAGAGGGGGAUAACAUCCGGAAGCGGAUGCUAAAACCGCAUAGGUCUUCGAGCCGCAUGGCUUGAAGAGGAAAAGAGGCGCAAGCUUCUGCUGAUGGAUGGACCCGCGGUGCAUUAGCUAGUUGGUGAGGUAACGGCUCACCAAGGCCGUGAUGCAUAGCCGACCUGAGAGGGUGAUCGGCCACAUUGGGACUGAGACACGGCCCAAACUCCUACGGGAGGCAGCAGUAGGGAAUCUUCCGCAAUGGACGCAAGUCUGACGGAGCAACGCCGCGUGAGUGAAGAAGGUUUUCGGAUCGUAAAACUCUGUUGUUAGAGAAGAACAAGUGCUAGAGUAACUGUUAGCGCCUUGACGGUAUCUAACCAGAAAGCCACGGCUAACUACGUG
rnacentral:rRNA from 1 species